rnacentral:rRNA from 1 species
AACGAACGCUGGCGGCAUGCCUAACACAUGCAAGUCGAACGAAGGCUUCGGCCUUAGUGGCGCACGGGUGCGUAACGCGUGGGAAUCUGCCCCUCGGUUCGGAAUAACAGUUAGAAAUGACUGCUAAUACCGGAUGAUGACUUCGGUCCAAAGAUUUAUCGCCGAGGGGAUGAGCCCGCGUAAGAUUAGGUAGUUGGUGGGGUAAAGGCCUACCAAGCCGACGAUCUUUAGCUGGUCUGAGAGGAUGAUCAGCCACACUGGGACUGAGACACGGCCCAGACUCCUACGGGAGGCAGCAGUGGGGAAUAUUGGACAAUGGGCGAAAGCCUGAUCCAGCAAUGCCGCGUGAGUGAUGAAGGCCUUAGGGUUGUAAAGCUCUUUUACCAGGGAUGAUAAUGACAGUACCUGGAGAAUAAGCUCCGGCUAACUCCGUGCCAGCCGCCGCAGUAA